rnacentral:misc_RNA from 1 species
AAAAAAGGCAAAAAACCAAAACCCAUUUCUUACCUCCUCUCUCCCUGUCUUCCAGGGCUGAAAUACAUGGGGACUAGAGUGGGCAUGGCCCUCCAAGCCCAUAGCCCCAAUCACCUCUAUAUUUUUUAAUUAAAAAAUUUAAAAUUGUAUUUAAAAUAUAAAUAUUUUUAUAAUAUAUAAAAACCUAUUUAUUAGUAAUUAUGAAUCCAAUUAAUAAUUAUAAACGAUACUUAAGUA